AGUGUAUCCCAAUGGUUCUGCAGCUGUAAGGCUUGGAAUAGGUCUCUGUCUCUACAAACUUGGACAGUUUAAUUUGAAAAAGCCCGGCAAACUUUGAAGCUUCUUAAAAAUAAACAGACUGAAAAAGGAUUUGGUUAUGAGACUAUCUAAGCCAUUCAAGAUCUUUGCUAAUCAUCAAGAUGGGGAUACGUUGGAGUCUGAUCUUGAUUCCAGCUGUGAACUGAUGAAUUCAGAUACUUGGAUUGCAGAUGGCUUUGACGAGAAUCAUUUGGAUAGUACGAAGGCGGGUCAUUCAGCAGCCCACAUCAAAUGUGUACAAUUAAGCUGGAUCCGCAGAUGGAGAUACAAGGUCUAUACCUAGUUGGUGUUUUUCUGCAUAUACAAUGAAGCUGCUUCUCUUUUGUUCUGGUCAUAUUUUUGAGAUCUUUGAAGAGUUGUUGAUGAGUUGUCGGUUUUUGCAAGAAAUAGUCGGUGUUAAAGUGCAACGGCUUAGAAUUGUAGCUGCAAUUAGGUAUACAAUUUCCUAGUUACAGAUUAUGUAAACAUUGUAUCUAUUUAU